UCUUCAUAUUCCGAGUCAGCCGGGCAACUAAAACCGAAGCACAAGGCUGGAAAACUGAACGAAGUCUCAGAAAGCUGAAAAUAAGCCAAAAUACAGCUUGUAUACAGUGGUAUACGUCAAUAUACACGACAAAAACAGUGAGAUACAGGUCUAAAACGUAGGAAUACAGGGACGGGACGAAGUAUAUGUGUUUGGAAGCAAGAUAUACAUGAAAAGAGCUGAUUUAUAUGCUCAUAUACAUUGAUAUACGCCCCGUGUAUACGCAAAAAGGGGAAUUGGAUUAGCCCUAAAUUCCAGCGAAUUUGGCCCAAAAGGAGGCCCAAAUUCAUUUUCUCCCUUACUCUUUAAUUAUUUAAUUGUGAUUAUUUAUUGUUUGUUGUUUAACUCUAACUUUAUAAUUUUUAAUUAACCUAAUUAGACUCCCCAAAAAAUAAGUUAUUUUCUUUGUGUUGGUUAACUUUUAAUAUAUAUUUUUUUAAUUUUAUUUAUGUGG
rnacentral:lncRNA from 1 species